AGAAGAGAGAGUGUAG
rnacentral:sRNA from 1 species